GGGUUUCAUACUUUCAUUCUCAUCCUCAUUAUCCGCCCCCAUCUUUCCUUCCCCAUUUCUCUCUCCGUUUUCUAGAAACCCUAAACUCGCAACGCCGCUUCCCCCUGUACAAACACACAUUCUUAUGAAAUCAGAAAGAUGAAGCUUCAGUGUAGUUGUAGUCUGUGGAAAAAAGACCCAGGUAGUUUUUUUAUGGCUGAAUGUUUUCAUAGAUCUACCGGACCACUAUCGACUUUGCAGAUCUGAGUUUUUAGCUACAUUCAAGAACGGUACAAACAACAUUCUUGCGUCAAUCAGAAGGAUGAAGCUUCGGUGUAGUUGAAAUCAGGAAACAAGCAGAGCUAGGGAAGAUGACAAGCCCGGAUCUGAUAGGUUUGCUUCGGUAUAGUUGCAAUCGGUGGAUGAAGAUGGAAAUCAGAUGAAGAUGGAGUGAUGGAGAUGACAAGCAAAACUUUGCAGAUCUGAGUUUUUUUUGGGUAAAUUGUUUAGUGGAUGAUUGUGGCAUUAGGUUCACCUGAGAUGUGAUUUCUUGUAUGUUGAAGGCUAUGAUGAUCCAGCUCUCCGUUUUAGCAGGCGAGGACAUCAAGAAAAUAACUUUCUGAACACGUUUCUUAUAAUGUUUGGGAUCUUUUUCGUGCUUGUGAUGAUCAGCACCAGCAGCCGCACGAGGGAGUAUAUACAACUUUCUGCACAAGCAAAAUGAUUCAUUUAAGCUUCCUUUGUUACUGAAGAUAGCAAUCGAUAUAUCCAAAGGCAUCAGUUACCUGUAUCAAAACAAUAUUAUCCACAGGGACGUGAAAACCGCCAAUCUUCUGAUGGAUGAGCACGACGUUGUGAAAGUUGCUGAUUUUGGAGUUGCAAGGGUGCAGACUGAAUCUGGAGUAAUGACGGCAGAAACCGGAACAUACAGGUGGAUGGCACCCGAGAUUGUGCCAAAAGUUAAUAGAUCGAAAAGGCUGCUGAUCCAAGUUUAGAAGAGGUAAGCAACGAAAGACACAACGGCUGUGCAAGUAAAGCAGGUACCCACAACACCGUUUCAUCGCUAUCCAUUGAUGGGGAAGUCUCUGGUGCGACCCCAAACUCCUGAGCCAUGGUUCCAGUACUGUUGAAGGCUAUGAGCACCAUAAUGGUGAGUGCAGUGGCUAGCUCGACACUUUCCAUUUCGGCGAGUGUAGAGAAAGAUAGGUUUAGUAGCUUGUACGAGUGUUGCAAUUGAAGUAGGAUUAGAGGUAGUUUAGUGGGGAUUAGUGGAGGAAUUUAACAGCUAAUAACAUUGUUAGUAUUAUUUAUGAAACAAAGCCUUUUCAUUUGAUAGGAAGUGAGUAUCAAAUUAGGAGACCUUUAAAAUAUUGAAACUGUAUCGGAAGCAUUUGAAUGAGGCAAAUGGUUCGAGUUUUGAUAACAAAAGUUUCUGUAAUCCACAUUGUCAUUGGCUUUUGUAACACCGUCUUUAUGAAGUUACUGGUUUAUUUCAAGUGAUUCAUAGAUUCAACAAAGCCCUUUUGGGAAUUUUUUUAUCUUCUUAGUUUCAUAUAUCUUUUAAGCACCCAAUUGCUGCUGGUAUUUGAUUUUAUAGGGCUUCUAAAAUCUCUGGAUUGCUGCUGCAUACAUCAGUACAUUAUUAUUUUCAAGGCAAUCUUGUGUUAGCAUAAUACAGUUAACUAUUUUUGUAGUGGGUUCAUCUUUUAGUCCUUUCAGCUAGAUUACUUAAUUAGCUUGUAUAUUUAUUUGCAUUUCUUUGUUUUCAUUGUAUGCACUUUUCAGAAUGAUAGAACCCUAUCAAUGUCUUUUUCUAAUCCUAUUUAAAUUGAGCUUUGGUUGGUCAAUUAUUGCAAGGAUGAGCAAAUGGUACUAGGUACCGGUUCAGAAUCGGUACUGAAUUUCUCGAACCUGUUCGAUUUUCAGUACCAGUUUUUACCUUCAAAUUCCGGUCCGUACCGGUAACGAACCGUAUCGUACCAGGUAUUUUUGGUACCGUUACCCAUUUUUUUUGGAUUUUCGGUAUCGUUUGGUACCGAGCUUAUCCCUAAUUUAUUGUACUGAUCAUGUGAUGACAUUUAGUUUAUGUUUGACUUUCUUGAUUGCACUCUGACCUAUACCAAAAACUUUAUUCAAUAAAAUGUUGCUUUUUGUUACAAGUUUUAUGAUUCAAAGCAGAUUGUUCCUAAUAGACCCUCUAUUAGUUCCUUUACUGCAAUUAUUUGAUGGGACAUGGCAAUCAUGAUGGGCUUUCCAAAAACCAAACAUGGAAAUUUGAGGUGCGAGGCGCUGUGGAAUACGAGAAAUCACUUCUGGAACAUGAUUCGAGAAAUCACCGAGUUUAAAGACAAUGUUUUGAGGUACUAGCAUACAUUUUGAAGGUUGUUUGUUGAUUGAAGGUGUGUUCUCAAGGCGGGAAACAUGGUUGCACUACCCAAGGGCAUUCCAUUCGCGUAUUCUUUUCGUUUAACUCAGAACCUUUAUUCAUCAUCAACUCUAUUUUUCUUCUUUCCCUUUUUGUCUUAAUCAUAUAAAGGCACCCGAACCCGAAAGAUUAAACCCAUUAAACCCUAAAUUAUAGGGUAAAUAAAUAUUACAUUCAUAUUCUCUUAAGAUUCUUUCUUGUGAAAUACAAAAAACUACUAGGUGUCUACUAUCAUUCUACAAUCUUUGUUUUUCAGUUUCAACAUGAAUCACUGAUGAUCGCAACUUAUUUUGUAAGAUAUGAAAUGCCGCAAAAGGAGGUGUUUUAACGAAUUUAGAAUUUAGAAACAUAUACACUGAGGGUGCUCUUCACUGAAUUCUUUCCUGCUUUUGAUUCUUUUUCUAAUUCAAGGAUGCUCUUCACUGAAUUUUGACGGUAUGUUAGGAAUUUUUACAAAACUUGCUAAUUUAAUUGGUGGAAACCUGUAUGCAACUUGUAGUUUUUAAUUUUGGCGGUUUGCAAUUGGAAUAUAGGUCUGGCCUUGUUGGAUUUUCGAGCAAUAGUAUUGCAUGGUCCAUAUGGCGACUUCAGAAACUGGCCUUGUAGGAAGCAAGCGGUGAAUAUUUUCGUUUGCUUUGGUUGUUGGUUGAUAGAAAUUGAUCAUUUUAGCCAUUUUUACUAUUUAAGUGUAAAGUAAACACUAAGAUAUGGUUGAGCAAAUAAAGUCGUUAAUACCUUUGUACUCAUUAACCCCUAAACAAACUACCCCUUUGAAUGAACUAUGUUAGGAUUAAAUCUUGUGCAUACAAUGGAUAAUAUGGAUAUAUGAUGUUUUUUGUUUGGUUUGUUUGAAGGGAUCUCAAGGGGCUAUCAUUGGAAGGAUUAGUGGUAGCUGAGAUAUGGAACCUCACCCUCCUUGAAUGCUACAGACUUUAGAUUUUUUUCUUCUUCUUUUAGAGUUUGGUAAUUUCUUUUUUUUUUUCGCAUUUGUAUUUUAUGGUUUAUUUAAAAAACACAACUUGUUGUAGUGUAACAUAUUGGAUUUUGAGAGUACCUUAACCGAAAAUU
rnacentral:lncRNA from 1 species